GAUGAACGCUGGCGGCAGGCCUAACACAUGCAAGUCGAGCGCCCCGCAAGGGGAGCGGCGGACGGGUGAGUAACGCGUGGGAACGUACCCUUUGCUACGGAAUAGCCUCGGGAAACUGGGAGUAAUACCGUAUGUGCCCUUCGGGGAAAGAUUUAUCGGCAAAGGAUCGGCCCGCGUUGGAUUAGGUAGUUGGUGGGGUAAUGGCCUACCAAGCCGACGAUCCAUAGCUGGUUUGAGAGGAUGAUCAGCCACACUGGGACUGAGACACGGCCCAGACUCCUACGGGAGGCAGCAGUGGGGAAUCUUAGACAAUGGGCGCAAGCCUGAUCUAGCCAUGCCGCGUGAGCGAUGAAGGCCUUAGGGUUGUAAAGCUCUUUCAGUGGGGAAGAUAAUGACUGUACCCACAGAAGAAGCCCCGGCUAACUCCGUG
rnacentral:rRNA from 1 species